UGAGGCUUAUGAUGAUUCAAAUUGCCUACAUUGUCAGAUCUUCAUUCUGAAGAUAUCAAAAGAAAGCUGAGGCCCAG